UCCAUUGCCCCUCCCCGCAGCAGGCACCCUUCCUACUAACCCUCCUCCUUCCUACCGCAUCUUAGUGCUUUCCAUCUGCUUAUGGCUGUAGAGCGAUCCACAGGAGAACCCAGCACCCUACCAGUAGCCACACUCCUAAAGAAAAACGACCUCCCCGCUUCCCUCAGCAACCACCAGCCGCCCCACUAGCUCCUCAGCUAGGGGUGGGGGCUCACCCACCCCCAUGCCCGCGCAUCGGUUUUGGAAUUUUGACUGGCCUGAUCUUAUACAAGUCUUACAGGCAGGUGACCACAGCUGUGAGUUAGUAACUCCUAAGGCGUUUACUGAUCCUUGGGGUAGGUAGACUUGGGUAUUGAUACCGAUGUCAAGUUUUUGUGGCUGAGCACACCUGUGGUUUACUCUUAGCACACUGGAUUUUGAGUUCCCAUUAACUGCUGCCCCUGCAAAGAAGAAGGCUCCCAGCCAAGGUGGAGAGCAGCAUAAAUUUACGGAGAGAAUUGCUGGCGCCGCCGCCGCCGAGUUGGAAGUGACGUCUUGAGAUGACAUCUGGAGGCACACAAGACCUCCCGCUCUUUGACCUUGGCCUACAUACUUCAUUUCUGCUCAGAGAAGAGAUGUUGACCCAGAAGAAAUUCGUCUCCUCCUCCAACAGGGGCUCUGGGCUUGAGAUCGCCCUGCCUCAGUCUCCUAGAGUUCUGGCAUUACAAAACAUGUCCAAUAUCCCACAGCCCACACCUCCGCUGACACAUGACAGAAAUGCACACAGGUACAGGACCAAGCACUGAACUGUGCCACAGAGCCAGGAGUAUGGAGCCCACUGCCAUCUCCAGCCCCGUCUACACGGCAAGUAAUCUUCCAAAGGUUCCAAACAAAUGGCAAACAACAGGUCAGCCAGACAAAUGAAUAAAAGUUUCCUGCCACUCCUGCUUCGAGUAGAUCCCGGAUCUACAGGGUAGACGAAGAGAACGAACUCCCUCCUGUUCUUCUCUGGUCUGCAUAUUUGUAUCGUGGUACUUAUGCACCACCCCAUACAAUAAUUAAAAUUUAAUAAAUAAAGACAAACAGUGUUACCAUGGAAA